rnacentral:rRNA from 1 species
UACGAAGGGGGCUAGCGUUGUUCGGAAUCACUGGGCGUAAAGGGCGCGUAGGCGGCUUUAUAAGUCGGGGGUGAAAGCCUGUGGCUCAACCACAGAAUUGCCUUCGAUACUGUAGAGCUUGAGACCGGAAGAGGUAAGUGGAACUGCGAGUGUAGAGGUGAAAUUCGUAGAUAUUCGCAAGAACACCAGUGGCGAAGGCGGCUUACUGGUCCGGUUCUGACGCUGAGGCGCGAAAGCGUGGGAAGCAAACAGG